rnacentral:rRNA from 1 species
AGUAAAUAGAUACCCGGGUAGUCCACGCCGUAAACGAUGCACACUUGGUCGGAGAGGUUAGACGCCUUUCCGGCCGAAAGGAAAAAACUGAUGAGUGUGCCGCCUGGGGAGUACGGUCGCAAGGCUAAAACUCAAAGGAAUUGACGGGGGCUCACACAAGCGGUGGAGCAUGUGGCUUAAAUUCGAAGCAACGCGAAGAACCUUACCUAGGCUUGACAUGCACGGAUCAACAUCAGGAAACUGGUGCCACAGCCGCAAGGCCGGAACGUGCACAGGUGCUGCAUGGCUGUCGUCAGCUCGUGCUGUGAAGUGUCGGGUUAAGUCCCUCAACGAGCGCAACCCCUGUCGCUACUUGCUAACGAGUAAUGUCGAGGACUGUAGCGAGACUGCCGGUGUCAAACCGGAGGAAGGUGGGGAUGACGUCAAGUCCUCAUGGCCUUUAUGCUUAGGGCUGCACACGUGCUACAAUGGUAUGUACAGAACGAUGCAAGACCGCAAGGUGGAGCAAAUCGCCAAAACAUACCCC